rnacentral:tRNA from 1 species
UCCCUGGUGGUUCAGUGGUUAAGAAUCUGCCUUCCAAUGCAGGGGACUCAGGUUCGAUCCCUGGUCAGGGAA